UAGAAAACUUCAUGUUAAGUGAAAGAAGCAAAGUAUGAAAGACCACAUAAUGUUCAAUUUCAUUUGAAGCUCUAAACCCCCAAACCUCAGAAUGUGACUGUACUUAAAUUCAGCCUUUAAAGAGGAAAUUAAGUUAAAAUGAAGUCAUUAGAAUGGAAUCCAGUCUGACUGGUGUCUUUAUAAGAAAAGGAACGUAGGAAACACAAAGAAAUACCAGGGAUGCACAGGCACAGGACCAUGUGAGGACACAG
rnacentral:lncRNA from 1 species